AUCCCAAAUCUCACUAAUUACGG
rnacentral:snRNA from 1 species